rnacentral:rRNA from 1 species
UACAGAGGUCUCAAGCGUUGUUCGGAUUCAUUGGGCGUAAAGGGUGCGUAGGUGGCGCCGUAAGUCGGGUGUGAAAUUUCGGAGCUUAACUCCGAAACUGCAUUCGAUACUGCGGUGCUUGAGGACUGGAGAGGAGACUGGAAUUCAUGGUGUAGCAGUGAAAUGCGUAGAGAUCAUGAGGAAGACCAGUGGCGAAGGCGGCUCACUGGCUCAUUUCUGACGCUCAGGCGCGACAGCGUGGGGAUCAAACAGG